CCGCUGACCCAGAGUCGACCACUGGCCUAGAGUCGACCACUGACCCAGAAUUGACCACUGGCUUAGAGUCGACUGCUGACCCAGAGUCGACCACUGGCCUACAGUUGGCCACUGGCAUAGAGUCAACCACUGACCCAGAGUCAACCACUGGCCUAGAGUCAACCACUGACAUGUCAGACUUGACCACGCACCAUGACUUCGCUGAAGAUGCAGAAACAACAACUGACGUGUAUCUGGAGAACACACAGACUUUUGAAUUGCCUACUAAUGUGGAAUUAAACACCCUGAGCUCUAAGGAAGAAGCCACUGAGGUCACAGAGGAGCCCAGCGCCUCCACGGGAAGCAACGAGUCCAGCACAGUGUUUUUUGUUUAGAAAAUGAAGCAGAUUCUCAUUACCUGUGACCACCACUCUACUAAGCACAACUUUCUAAGAAGAUUCUGGGCCUCUGAACAAGCCUUCCAUUCCAUUAUAGGAGCUUGAAUAAUUGUAAAAGACUAGUGAGACACAGGAGGUACCUACUUGAGGAUAAACAGAGUAGCAGGAAUUAUACACAGACAGAAG